rnacentral:rRNA from 1 species
AUUGAACGCUGGCGGCAUGCCUUACACAUGCAAGUCGAACGGCAGCACGGGUGCUUGCACCUGGUGGCGAGUGGCGAACGGGUGAGUAAUACAUCGGAACGUACCUUAUCGUGGGGGAUAACGCAGCGAAAGCUGUGCUAAUACCGCAUACGCCCUGAGGGGGAAAGCGGGGGAUCGAAAGACCUCGCGCGAUUAGAGCGGCCGAUGCCUGAUUAGCUUGUUGGUGGGGUAAAAGCCCACCAAGGCGACGAUCAGUAGCUGGUCUGAGAGGACGAUCAGCCACACGUGGACUGAGACACGGCCCAGACUCCUACGGGAGGCAGCAGUGGGGAAUUUUGGACAAUGGGGGCAACCCUGAUCCAGCAAUGCCGCGUGAGUGAAGAAGGCCUUCGGGUUGUAAAGCUCUUUUGUCAGGGAAGAAACGCUCUGGGUUAAUACCUCGGGGUAAUGACGGUACCUGAAGAAUAAGCACCGGCUAGCUACGUGCCAGCCGCCGCCGUAA